GCAUGCUUAGUCCAGCGCUUCGUGGGCAACAGAGAUGCAUAUGGAAAACCCAUGGGGACACGCUUGCUUCACCAAAUAAGGGAUGCUGCAAUUAACGGCCUGGACAGAGGAUGGGGACAUGAAUAAUGGUAGAGUCCAGCAUUAGCACAACACUCCAUUCAUCACUGCUGAAGGGCAAAUGCAUAACCCUCAAAAUGAUCCUGGAAAGAGGAAAAGGGAGAGGAAUUGCAAGUUCCAUGGAACAGUGAUUUACCAUGCAGCAGAGGAUGUGAGCAUCUCCGAAAUAGAAGGGUCCACAUAUUUUGAACUUUAACAUAUAUAAUGAUACUUAUAAUGUGACUGUUACGGGCAGCUGAUUUUUCAUACAAUUGACAUGAGACCCAUCUGAUGAAGUGGCACUCCCAAAGAAAAGAUAAAGUCAAAUCUGGCUGGCCAGUUACAACUUCAGAGCUCUUUCAUAACUUUCUGAGGUUGUAGAUAAAUUGGACCUUCGCAGAAGACCGUGGCUGUGGACAAGUAAACAAUUCCUAUCAUACAUUUCUCACUGGAGGGAAAGUUAAAAGUUAGAUUCAAUAAAAGUGACCGCCAUGACUUAACUAAACCAUCCAGCAUCUCCUUGCCGACAGCCUGCCUUAUAUUUACAUGAAAGGAUUUCCUGCCAGUUUAUCAUCUUAGUCUUAAUACCUAGGCCUUUAUCCCCUCAUCUCUAUCCUACCAAUUGCCUGUCUUUUCAUUUUGCACAGAUGGAAUGGGCAAUUGAAGAAGUAAGGCAUCAUUACCUUCUUCUUUUUAAAGAUGUAGGGAGUGAGCACCAGGUUCUGUUCUCAGCAAACCUCUUUAAUCCUAGUGGGGUUGGUUAUAGCAACUUCAAGCCUACCUGACUCCAGUUUUCUCUUCCAAAUCAAUCUUUAAUCCUCAAAAAGGUUGAUUUGAUUGCACAGUCCUUGCUUACUGUAUUUCAAUGGUUCCCUAGGGUUUUCAUAUUAUAGCUGGAGUUCCUUAGCUUGGGAAAAAAAAUUCAUUUUAAGCCCCUUGACUCUCCUUUAUUUUUGUAUUUAACUUUUUAAAAUAAAAAAAUCUGAAAUAUCCUAACAUGUAGAAAUUUGCAGAAGAUCAUUCAUCUUUCUAAAAGCUAGCUUCCUCUAGUCAUCAUUUCCCACUCUAUGCACCAGCCAUGACUUGAGCCCCUAAAAUUUCUCUUGCUAUUUAACACUUCCAUGAUUGUGUCAAUCCUG
rnacentral:lncRNA from 10 species